rnacentral:rRNA from 1 species
CCCCUAGAUGUUCUGGGCCGCACGCGCGCUACACUGAACAGUUCAACAAGUCUUAACCUUGGCCGAAAGGUCUGGGUAAUCUUUGAACGCUGUUCGUGAUUGGGAUAGACCUUUGCAAUUAUGGGUCUUCAACGAGGAAUUCCUAGUAAACGCAAGUCAUCAGCUUGCAUUGAUUACGUCCCUGCCCUUUGUACACACCGCCCGUCGCACCUACCGAUUGAAUGGUCCGGUGAAAUCUCGGGACGGCGGCUUGGUCGCUUGCGUCCGACUGCUGAAACUUGAUUAAACCAUAUCAUUUAGAGGAAGGUGAAGUCGUAACA